UAUCACCAUUGUUCUCCAGCCUCUACCUCC
rnacentral:piRNA from 1 species